rnacentral:lncRNA from 1 species
UGCCGAUGGGAGGUACUUGGAGUCUGAACUGACCGAUGAACUGAAGAAGAUAAAGAAAAAUCAAAGGGAGAUGAUCGAUUUGCAGAAGCAAGCAAAUAUCAUGGCAGUGUUUUUUUAUUGCUGUGCCAUUGCUCUGUUUAUGUUUUACUUGCUAUUCAUCGUCAUUAGAGGGGGCAUUUAGGUCUGUCCAGUGUAGAUGAUGUGAUCUGAUGACAAGUUCAUGUAUCUUAAAUGAAUCAGCAGUUUGGAACACAAAUUAU